CGUGGCUGGGUCGGAGGGACGAGGGAAGGAGUGUCUGAAGCUUGAGGCAACACUCUCAUGACUGAGAUCUUAAAUGUAGAUUUUGUGACAGUUGAUAAAAUAUAAAAGAAUUAAAAAUUCUUGAUGUGUAUUUUUAAGGAUUAUAGAUAGUUUGAAUAAAAAAAAUCAGUAUGAGAGUGUGUAUUUUUUAAUUAAGUAUUAUGUAUAUUUAUUAAAUUAUGUGUUUAUACACUACAAAAAUAAAACAUUUUAGAAGAGGAUAUUUUCCGACAGUUUUGAAACCCCAGAUAAUUUCCGGCGGUUUUAAAUUGGAACCGCCCCCAAACAUUUAAAUUUUUUAAUUUUAAAAAUAAUUUUUCUCCGCCUUCGUUCCUUCUACGUUUUUCCCCAACCCUAAUCCCUCCAGCCGCCUACAUUUCCCCCAAACACUAUCUUUAUAUUUUCUUCCAAAUCACAAUCUUCAUUUUGCUACACGACAGGCACCAUCUCAAUCUUGUCAUUCUCCGCCACCGCUUCCAGAAGUUUAAUUCCACUCUUCGAUGCUCUUCCUUCCUAGAAGCACCACAUGAACUCCAUUAACUCCGAUGAUGUCGUCCAGCUUCCUCUCUUCUC
rnacentral:lncRNA from 1 species